CAGCGAACCGCUGCAAUGGCGGAGUUUAAUAAACAAGUCGCUUCAUCUCGUUUCAACGCGUCCAAACGACGGAAAACAGUAGACCAGGCUGAAACCUCCGGAGAGAUUCUGCUUGUUCUGGUCGGCCGUCAUGGACUUGGACCGCAGCGUCAGCGACGUGCUAGGGGCUCGCUUCGGAGGGGGCGGAGCUAAGAGGUUUGUUUCUGACUUCCUGGAAACCGAGACGACCUUCAUCAGCAGGCGACUUCCUCCCUGUCGGAUCAGAGAGACGACCUGGCGGUGACCCACCUUCACCACGUCGCUGCCGUUCACCUUCACACAGAGAGGAAGUCUCCGGUUCGUAGCCCCGCCCUCCAGGCCACGCCCCCCUGAUCCACCGACUCUAGGUACUGGAGAGCAGGAAACGCCGGCGUGGGAGCAAACUCCUCGAUGGGUGUCUCAGCUGGAUAAGGGUCAAAGGUCAGGCUCCUCGCAGGACGAAGCCAAAUCCUUCGCUUUCUCUCUUCUGCAGCACGGCUGUCUUCUCCUCUAUCACGUAGUCACUGGAACCAGAUGCAGAUUGGAGAAAACAACUGAGAUUAUUCGGUAAUUCAGAUUAGUGUCCAGUAAAUAAAUGAUUGCCUCAACUUCAAA